CCUACGGGAGGCAGCAGUAGGGAAUCUUUCACAAUGGGCGAAAGCCUGAUGCAGCAACGCCGCGUGCAGGAUGAAGGCCUUCGGGUUGUAAACUGCUUUUAUUAGCGAGAAAUAUGAUGGUAACUUAUGAAUAAGGAUCGGCUAACUACGUGCCAGCAGCCGCGGUCAUACGUAGGCUACGAGCAUUAUCCGGAGUGACUGGGUGUAAAGAGUUGCGUAGGUGGGAUAAUAAGUAGCGAGUGAAAUCUCGUGGCUCAAACAUUCAAACUAUUAGCUAAACUGUUAAGCUCGAGACCGUUAGGGGUAGCUGGAAUGUAUGGUGUAGGAGUGAAAUCCGUAGAUAUUAGAAGGAACACCGAUAGCGAAGGCAGGUUACUAGGACAGUUCUGACACUAAGGCACGAAAGCGUAGGGAGCAAACGGGAUUAGAUACCCUUGUAGUC
rnacentral:rRNA from 1 species